CAGCAGCCGCGGUAAUACGUAGGGGGCUAGCGUUGUUCGGAUUUAUUGGGCGUAAAGGGUGCGUAGGCGGUUUGGCAAGUCUUGUGUGAAAUCUUCGGGCUCAACCCGAAGCCUGCACGAGAAACUACCGGGCUUGAGUAUUGGAGAGGUGAGUGGAAUUUCCGGUGUAGCGGUGAAAUGCGUAGAUAUCGGAAGGAACACCUGUGGCGAAAGCGGCUCACUGGACAAUAACUGACGCUGAUGCACGAAAGCUAGGGGAGCAAACAGGAUUAGAUACCCCCGUAGUCCCUGUCUCUUAUAC
rnacentral:rRNA from 1 species